UAUCCUACGGGGGGCAGCAGUGGGGGAUAUUGCACAAUGGGGGGAACCCUGAUGCAGCGACGCCGCGUGGGCGAUGGAGUGCUUCGGCAUGUAAAGCCCUAUCAGCAGGGAAGAAAAUGACGGUACCUGACUAAGAAGCCCCGGCUAAAUACGUGCCAGCAGCCGCGGUAAUACGGAGGAUGCGAGCGUUAUCCGGAUUUAUUGGGUUUAAAGGGUGCGCAGGCGGCGAGUUAAGUCAGCGGUAAAAUUUCGGGGCUCAACCCCGACGAGCCGUUGAAACUGGCUUGCUAGAGUGGGCGAGAAGG
rnacentral:rRNA from 1 species